GAUGAACGCUGGCGGCGUGCCUAAUACAUGCAAGUCGAGCGAACGGACGAGAAGCUUGCUUCUCUGAUGUUAGCGGCGGACGGGUGAGUAACACGUGGAUAACCUACCUAUAAGACUGGGAUAACUUCGGGAAACCGGAGCUAAUACCGGAUAAUAUUUUGAACCGCAUGGUUCAAAAGUGAAAGACGGUCUUGCUGUCACUUAUAGAUGGAUCCGCGCUGCAUUAGCUGGUUGGUAAGGUAACGGCUUACCAAGGCAACGAUGCAUAGCCGACCUGAGAGGGUGAUCGGCCACACUGGAACUGAGACACGGUCCAGACUCCUACGGGAGGCAGCAGUAGGGAAUCUUCCGCAAAGGGCGAAAGCCUGACGGAGCAACGCCGCGUGAGUGAUGAAGGUCUUCGGAUCGUAAAACUCUGUUAUUAGGGAAGAACAUAUGUGUAAGUAACUGUGCACAUCUUGACGGUACCUAAUCAGAAAGCCACGGCUAACUACGUG
rnacentral:rRNA from 1 species